CCUACGGGUGGCAGCAGUGGGGAAUAUUGCACAAUGGGCGCAAGCCUGAUGCAGCCAUGCCGCGUGUGUGAAGAAGGCCUUCGGGUUGUAAAGCACUUUCAGCGGGGAGGAAGGCGGUGAGGUUAAUAACCUCAUCGAUUGACGUUACCCGCAGAAGAAGCACCGGCUAACUCCGUGCCAGCAGCCGCGGUAAUACGGAGGGUGCAAGCGUUAAUCGGAAUUACUGGGCGUAAAGCGCACGCAGGCGGUCUGUCAAGUCGGAUGUGAAAUCCCCGGGCUCAACCUGGGAACUGCAUUCGAAACUGGCAGGCUAGAGUCUUGUAAAGGGGGGUAGAAUUCCAGGUGUAGCGGUGAAAUGCGUAGAGAUCUGGAGGAAUACCGGUGGCGAAGGCGGCCCCCUGGACAAAGACUGACGCUCAGGUGCGAAAGCGUGGGGAGCAAACAGGAUUAGAUACCCGAGUAGUC
rnacentral:rRNA from 1 species